GCUUGCAUAAUCAUAAACCGUCUAGGGGAUGGCUUGGCUAUAGCAGCGAAGAAGGCCGUGGCAAGCUGCGAUAAGCCUGGGGUAGUCGCAAGUCAGACUUUGAACCCAGGAUCGCCUUAAUUGUGCAGAAAUGCAUGCAAACGCGGGGAACUGAAAUGACUUAGUACCCGCAGGAAAAGAAAGAAAUAUCGAUGUGGCUAAUAACGCGAGUGAACGCCACAGAGGGCAACCUGAAUCCUGUUUUGCAAAAAACACGGAGAUGUGGUGUGGGAGAAUCCAAUGUAUGAGCUGAAGGUUCUGGAAAGAACCGCCAUAGAGAGUGACAGCCUCGUAAGUUAAGUUAGUUGGAAGGUACCACGAUGAAGAGUAAUUCUUUUUGAGUAUGAAGAAUGAAGAUGGGUGCAUUAAAACCCAACCCUAAACAUUGGCUAUAGACCGAUAGUGAACAAGUAGCGUGAGCGAAAGCUGAAAAGAACCCACACGCGUGGGAUUGAAAAGAUCUGAAACUAGAUGGUGAAACGAAGGUAAGGCAUGGAAGUUAUGAGGUAUGGUGAAGCUGAAGCCCGAAAGGGCCAUGCGAACCGUAAGGAACAAUGUCUUAUCAUUCUUCUUGAAGCAAGAGCCAGGGAGUGUAUAUGAGUGGCGAGUCGAAAGACGCAGCGAAAGCGAGUGCGCGCACUAUAGGAGGCGCAGGGUAUGAAAAUGCCUAAGUCACUUGUAUACGACCCGAAGCCGUUGUGAACUACGCGCGACCAAGGCGAAGCUAGAUUAACGUCUGGUGGAGGCCUGCAACCUGUCAUGGCAUGUCCUGUUGGGUGAGUUGCGGGUAGCGGCGAUAUACCACUCGAACACGGCAAUAGCGGGUCCCCUCUGAAGUAUCUUUAGGAUAGCUCCGGGCGAGUUUGCACAUGCGGUAGAGCUACCGACUGAUUGGCAAGGGGUCGAGAGGCCCCACCAAUCUAUCAAACUCCGAAUGUAUGUGCUGCGUAGACCCCGGGAGUCGACGAGUUUGGGUAAGCCAGACCCGUGAGACUGCAAAGAUAGUGACUAAGGUUAAGGUCCCCAAAUCCUAAUUAAGUGUCUUAAAAGUAGGAAAGGCCACAGACAGCUGGGAGGUAGGCUCAGAAGCAGCCACCCUUUAAAAAACGCGUCAUAGCGUACCAGUAGAGGCUUUUCUUGCUGAAGAUAUACGGGGCUAAAUUAGGUACCGAGACCCUAGAGAUUGAAUAAAUCUGGUAAGAGGGCGUUUGGCACGUCAAGAAGUACGUCCGAAAGGACGUAUGGAACGUGUCAUAGGGAAAAUCCUGGUAUUAGUAACAGCAUAUAUGGGUGAGAAUCCCAUACACCGAAAGCACAAGGUUUUCUUCGCAACGCUCGUCAGCGGAGAGUUAGUCGAUCCUAAGGCUAAUGCUAAUCACACUUAGCCAAAAGGGAAGCGCGUUAAUAUUCGUGCACCUAGAAUGUAGGAGUGGCAACACAAGGCAAAUUUCUGACGCUUGGGGAUAGGUCCGCAAGGAAGUGCAAAGGGCUGCAGAGUCUCGUUAUGAGGAGAAGCAGCUAAAUGAACUAUGGACUGAAUUCCUGAGCCCGUGAAAAGGGAAUCUGCAACGAUCAUUCUAGCUCGUACCUAGAACCAGUAAAGGUGCUGCUGGCUGAAGAAGCCAAGGUGUGGCGGGGUAACCCGUGUUAGGGAAAUCGGCAAAAUAGUGGCGUAAGAUACCAAGAAGCCAUGUCUGCGUAUAGGAUAUGCAGAUAUCAUUGACUAGGGAACGACAACUGUUUAUCAAAAACACAACUCACCGCAAAGCGGAAACGCUAAGUACAGUGGGUGACGCCUGCUCACCGCCAGUACGUGAAAGCCCUUUUCAAGGGGAAGAAGCGCUGGCAAAGAGCGGGAGUAACUCUGACUCUCUUGAGGUAGCGU
rnacentral:rRNA from 1 species